AGAGUUUGAUCCUGGCUCAGGAUGAACGCUAGCUACAGGCUUAACACAUGCAAGUCGAGGGGAAACGACAUCGAAAGCUUGCUUUUGAUGGGCGUCGACCGGCGCACGGGUGAGUAACGCGUAUCCAACCUGCCCAUCACUUGGGGAUAACCUUGCGAAAGUAAGACUAAUACCCAAUGAUAUCUCUAGAAGACAUCUGAAAGAGAUUAAAGAUUUAUCGGUGAUGGAUGGGGAUGCGUCUGAUUAGCUUGUUGGCGGGGUAACGGCCACCAAGGCUACGAUCAGUAGGGGUUCUGAGAGGAACGGUCCCCCANAGUUGGAACUGAGACCACGGUCCAAACUCCUACGGGAGCA
rnacentral:rRNA from 1 species